CACAGAUUUGGUCCUAGUCUUAUUGUUACUUUUUACUAAACUUACACAUGCAAGUAUCAGCGAACCUGUGAAAAAGCCCAAACACUUACACUAAUAGUGCUCAAGGAGCAGAUAUCAGGCUCACCAAGUUAGCCCAAGACAUCUAGCAACGCCACACCCCCAAGGGAUCUCAGCAGUGAUAGAAAUUAAGCAAUAAGCACAAAGCUUGACUUAUUUACAGUAAACUAAGGGCUGGUUAAUUCUUGUGCCAGCCACCGCGGUUACACAAGAAGCCCAAAAUAACAACCUUUAAACGGCGUAAAAUGUGAUUAAAAUUCAUCAAACCAAUUUAAGAUAGACUACCUGCUCUUCUGUCAUAAGUUAGAGCACACCUUAUCACACUGUGAAAACAAUCUUAAUUCACCGAUCAAUUUGAACCCACGAUAGCUAAGACACAAACUGGGAUUAGAUACCCCACUAUGCUCAGCCCCAAACACAGAUUUUUCUACCACAUAAAAAUCCGCCAGAGAACUACCAACCCUAUAUUAGAAACUCAAAGGACUUGACGGUGUCUCAAACCCAACUAGAGGAGCCUGUCCCAAAACCGAUAAUCCACGAUACACCUAACCACUUCUAGCCCACAGCCUAUAUACCUCCGUCUCCAGCCUACCUUAUGAAAGCACAAAAGUAGGCACAACAGUUAACCAACUAACAAGUCAGGUCAAGGUGUAGCCAAUGAAAUGGUGGAGAUGGGCUACAUUUUCUACAAUAGAAACAUAUUACACUGACAGAACGGAUUUUGAAACUAAACCCGAAAAAGAAGGAUUUAGCAGUAAUGUAAGAAUAGAGAGCUUACAUUAACCAGGACCUGAGACGCGUACACACCGCCCGUCACCCUCGUCAAAAACAACCAAUACUAACUAAACUAAUAAUUAAACAAAGACGAGGUAAGUCGUAACAUGGUAAGUAUACCGGAAGGUGUGCUUGGAACAC
rnacentral:ncRNA from 1 species